GGCGAACGCUGGCGGCGUGCCUAAUACAUGCAAGUCGAGCGGCCAAAGAGGAGCUUGCUGCUCGUUGUUAGCGGCGGACGGGUGAGUAACACGUAUGCAACCUGCCUGUAAGACUGGGAUAACUUCGGGAAACCGGAGCUAAGACCGGAUAAUGCUUUUGAACUCAUGUUCGGAAGCUGAACGAUGGUUUCUGCUAGCACUUACAGGUGGGCCCCUGGCGCAUUAGCUAGUUGGUGAGGUAACGGCCCACCAAGGCGACGAUGCGUAGCCGACCUGAGAGGGUGAUCGGCCACACUGGGACUGAGACACGGUCCAGACUCCUACGGGAGGCAGCAGUAGGGAAUAUUCUGCAAUGGGCGAAAGCCUGACCGAGCAACGCCGCGUGAGUGAUGAAGGUUUUCGGAUCGUAAAACUCUGUUGUUAGGGAAGAACAACUACCGGUGUAAACGCCGCUAUUCUGACGGUACCUAAACAGAAAGCCACGGCUAACUACGUG
rnacentral:rRNA from 1 species